GCGCCCAUCGUCUAUCGGUUAGGACACAGGGUUUUCAUCCCUGGAAGCGGGGUUCGAUUCCCCGUGGGCGCGCCA
rnacentral:tRNA from 1 species